AUACGGAGGAUCCGAGCGUUAUCCGGAUUUAUUGGGUUUAAAGGGUGCGCAGGCGGCCAUUUAAGUCAGCGGUUAAAUCGUGGGGCUCAACCCCAUUCUGCCGUUGAUACUGGGUGGCUUGAUUGCGGUCGAGGUUGGCGGAAUUCGUUGUGUAGCGGUGAAAUGCAUAGAUAUGACGAAGAACGCCGAUUGCGUAGGCAGCUGACCAGACCGCAAAUGACGCUCAUGCACGAAAGUGCGGGGAUCGAACAGGAUUAGAUGCCCUGGUAGUCCGCACAGUAAACGAUGAAUACUUGUUUUCGGCGAUAUAAUGUCGGAGGCAAAGCGAAAGCGAUAAGUAUUCCACCUGGGGAGUACGCCGGCAACGGUGAAACUCAAAUGAAUUGACGGGG
rnacentral:rRNA from 1 species